UCUAGACUGGGGAUGGACUAGAGUUUGGUUUGGGUUUUGUUUUGAUUAGUUUUUCCCCUUUUGAAAAAGGUGUGUUCCUAGUGUUCUGAUUCAAGCAUAACUAAUACUUAUGAAGUGAAUUAUUGGUUCUGUUGUUUGUAUUAUUUUUACUCGCAUGGUCGAAUCGAUGCGCUGUAGGUCAGGCUUCGAAUAGAGAACCUUAAAUUCAGUUGUAUCUGGCGUCCAAAAUGGCUCAAUCAAUGUUGAACAUACCCAGCAGUCACCGUGGUCCAGUCCCUCACGACAUGCUAGGUUCCGCCUCUGGCGUGCAUUCCUCUAUUGAACAAGGAGAUGAUAAAUCAAAAUACGAGUGCAGAAAAUGCAAAACACCGUUCCAGACUGCCGUUGCACGACUUUCCCAUGAGAUCAGUGGGUGCAUCGCCAUUGAUAACUUGCACCACUACGAGCCACCUGCAAACCAUCACCACCACCACCCCUCUCUUGGGCAAAACACUGCAGCCGAAGCUGACACUAAAGAGAUGUACCAGUGUCACCACUGUAGAGCUUACUUCAGUACCGCCGUCUCUCGUCUCAGCCACGAGUUACAGGACUGUCCAGCAUUAAGGGCAGGAGGCAAUAAUGUCAGUGACUCGCCGGUCCGAUCUACAUUUGGGAUGAAGUCCAGUAAGGAUGUCCACUCACCAGACAAUCCCAAGGAUGUUGCUAACCAAAGUGCUCGUGAUCGUUCACCUGUAAGGACAGAACCAGCAGCUCCCAAGGAGUACAAAUGUAAGUUAUGCCCGCAGAUAUUUUACACCCGGUCUGACGUCAAUCUGCACACAAGAUCGCACAAAGAAGGAAAGCCACACAAAUGCCAAGAUUGCGGAAAAACGUUCGCCAGCACAUCCUACUUGAGCCAGCACACUCGCAUUCAUACCGGUGAGAAGCCGUAUAAAUGUGAGUUUUGCGAGAAAUCUUUCAAGCAACUGUCCCACCUUCAGCAACACACGCGUAUCCACACAGGAGACCGUCCUUAUCGCUGCACGUAUCCAGACUGUGACAAAGCUUUCACGCAACUUGCGAAUCUUCAGUCACACACCCGCAAGCACACAAAGGAUAAACCCUUCAAGUGUAGAGACUGUUACCGUGCAUUUGACGAUGCCCAAGCCUUGCAACACCAUGCUUCUUGUCAUGCCCACACCAGACGAGAGCGGAAGCUAUCCUGCGGUGUAUGUGGCAAGGCUUACGCACAAGAAUUGUACCUUAUCAAGCAUAUGGAAUCUAAACACCCACAGAGUGCAGCAACAUCAAGUCUUGAGUCGCAGAAGUUUACAGGAAACGGAGCUAGUAAAGAUAAUGCGUCCGAAAAUAGUGGCACCUCUAACAAUCAAGAACACAAGAAGUACCCAAACCACUCCUCUUCGCAGCUAAGAGGAUCUGACCAUACUUCAAGUAAGCAGGAGGAUAUUCAACAACGUGAAGAGAUUCUCCAGAUGAAGAACAGGCAAGAAGAAAUGCUGAUGUCGCAGCACCGCCAAGAAAUCCUGAACAUUGAACACCAAGAAAUGCUUAGCAGAGAAAGACAGGAGAUGAUCAACCGAGAGAGACAAGAGAUUAUGAAUCGUGUCCAACGGGAUGAGCUUCUGCACCAGGGUCGCCAAGAGAACUUACUGGUUCAUCGGCAAGACCACUUUCUCACACCAAGACAACAGGAAGAGUUGCGUACACGUGGCAUCAACAUGUCUGCGUCCUCAACUUUAUCACACCUUCACCACCUAGAAAAGGGGAUGCUGAAGCCCAAUGUAGUCCUGCCAAGGAUGGAUCCCACCAGUAGAGCUCACCACAUGAAAGUUCCAUUUUCAGCUGGGAUGCAGAUGCUGACAGGCAUGCAUCAUGAAGCGAUGCCAUGUACAACAGAGGGUUUAGGAGUAGAUCCGAACAAAAAUGUAUUCCAUCACUAGAGCAAUGAACUUCUUAGUUCUGUGAGAUUUUUUUCCUAAUUUAUGUUUCAAAUUGUUGGUUUAACUUUAUCGGAAUCUUUACAAGGUAGCUCUCACAACAAUUUUUUAAAUCUGUAUAACAAAAAUCUGACAAAAUUCAUCUCCAUUUUCAAAAAUCAUAAACAGCACUUUUAAAGUAGCUCUGUACCUUUAUUAUGAUAUGUACGAUAAAUGUGGGACAGCCACUUUAAAUACUGCUACUCAAUGCUUUUAACUACAAUUUUUUUAUUAUUUUCUAUUCUAAUUGUUCUCAAACCAGUAAAUGACAAUAUUUGAUGGUGACUAAAGCCUCUUUUGGAUUGGACUUUUGCGAUCGAACUAACCAUUUACAGUAUGGUCUAUUUGACAUAAAUAAAUCCAGUACGGACAGCCUACAUUACUUUUUCCAUGGUCAAGUCAUCCAAGCCGCCCAGGUCUGAUACCUACUGCAUAUUGUAUUCCAAUUGCGAACAGCGGAUUCAGUGCCUUUGAUGAAAACAUUUUCAGUACUGCAACAGAGCUAACGGCUAUGGCUUCUCUAGCCACAAAGGUUUCAUGAGCCUCAGAGGUCCACAAGUCAUAGUACCAAAACCUCACAGGUUCCAAAUUUCUGGAGAUUACAAGAGCCUUGAAAGGUUCCACAAAUCAUGUUUUAAGAACUUCUGAGGUUCAACAAAUUAUUGAGGCUCAAAGAGCCGAAAAGAAGGUUCCAUAAUAAAUCGUAUAGGUUCCAAGAACCACAGUUGUUCCAAGAACCACUGUUGUUCCACAAAUCAUAGAGGUUCUAAGAGCCUUGGAAGUUCCAUAAAUCAUGGAAGUUCCAUACAUUAUAGAGGUUGCUCAGUGUUUAUGAGCCACAAAGAGUUGUAAUAGAAAGAGCCUUGUUAUAUUGGAGAGUAUGGGCUAUGUAUUGGAGGGAAUGCCUCGACGGAAAGUAUUUUCUGUCUGCUGUGUAGUUAGUUCAGACUGAUAAGUUUUCAUUGUAAUUAGACUUGCUAUAAGCUACUGUACAUGCAAUUGGUUAUAACUCUGCUGGUGCAUUGUGGGAAUCGAUCUGUAACUAUGUUGGGACCAGUGUUGUGUGUAUGUGUGUGGAAAUUCUGUUGUGUUGGAUGUCAAAAAACGACAAUACCGACAAAGAUCGCUAGUGUCGAUUUAAAAGAAGCUUAACUUUUUAGGAGGAAUUCUCUCCAGUAUUUGUAAGGUGAAAUUAUUAAGUAGUGUAUUAGCUGAUUUUAACAGAGUGGUAGAUGUUGCAAUUGCAACUAAAACUACGAAUGCGCAAUUGUUCUGUAGAUAUUCCGUGCCAGUUGCGGUGUUAGCUUGGGAAAAUGGAUAUUAUUUGCUUGCCAAAAAAAAAAUAAAGAAAAUUAAAUCUAAUUCUGGAUUUAGUUUACUAUAGAGGGCACUAUAGGGUGAUGCUUGUCAUGGUAACAUUGAUUCAGAAGAAUUUAAUUGUGCAAAGAGAUAAAAUAUAUUAUUGCAAUGAAUGAUGAUUCAAUUCUGUGGAUAACAUAUAUUUAAAAUGUGGGAAAUUUUAAUUUUAGGGCAAUUUUUAAAUCAAUUUUACAUAAUUCUCUAAAUUUCAAUUUGUAAUUUAGAUUUGUAUUAUUUUACCAGACAACAUUGGGUUUUUUUAUUGCAUAAAUAGAAUGUAGUUUUGCAAAAUAAGAAAAUAUUUGGGAGUGGGAUGAUAAUUUGGUUGUGAAAUUUUCAGUAACCGUGGUAAGUUAAGACGAUAGACGAUUUAAGCCCAGCAAUUUUGUAAUUUAAGUAGAGUAAUACAAGCAAUCCAAGUAAACACGGUGGAUAAAUAAGUUUUACAAAGUCGUUUUGGGAAGCCAUUAUUUGGCUAUUUUACGCUGCAAAUGGGAGCUGAUUAUUUUUUAAAAAUUAAAUGUUUACAUAUUUUAAGGAAUCUUAUCAUGAUUGUAUUAUUCUUCUAUACCUUCAUUUUAAGGAUACGUUUAACUUAGUGUAAUAAUUGGUAUACGAUCUAUGAAUGUUUUUGUUGUAAACAAAGUUAUGGAUGUAUAGAAGGGAAUAAGGAAUAACCGCAUGGUAGGAUCAAUCCAAGGCCGUACUGUUUAACAAUGCACAGCAUAAAGUACCACCAAGUGGGCUGAGUCAGAAGUGACGUUAAACUAUUUGUAUGUUUGUGGAAAAAGUGUUCUGAACAUGCACAGAUAAAUAAUGUGUAUUCCGUAAGUAUGCCAAUGAACCGAAAACCAAAUUUUUUCAAAGUUAAGAGAGAAACUCUAGUGUGCAACUUUUGGGCUAUGGUAGAUUUUAUAGUUUUUAUGUGUCUUUGAUUUUGCAAAAAUUAGUUAUUUUCUGUUUAGUCACAAUUCGUUGUAAAAUGUACACAGCUGUUUUUAACAGAAUGUACUGUAUCCCACAAGGGGGAUUUUUGUCAAAAAAUCCAUGUCAAUUUAUGGAGUAAAAAUUUGCCUAUUGCUUUAGGGUCAACUAUGUAUUGUACCUACUGAGAAUAUGUAUUCAGUCCAGUAACUAGUUUAGACCAGUUAAAACUGGCAUCAACUCCCCCUGAACUUGUUUCUUUUUCCUCCAGAAAUUUUCAUUGCAUAUAUGGUUGAGAAAAAAUGUCAGAAUGUUAUACUGUAAACAAAUGCAAUAGAUAUACUGGUCAACAUAGAAAAAAUAUACAAGUUUCAUUAUAAUUGAAAAGUUUUACUUAAAAUUGUUAUGUAUUUUUCUUAUACUUCUUCUCUGCUAUGUCUAUGUAUCGUUUUAAAAACAUACAUAAAUUUAUAUUAUUGUUUUCAAUACUAACUUGUUUAGAAUAGUUGUUUUUGUGUAGUAUCGAAACCCCAAAAGAACAUGUUUUUCUCUCCGUUUGUUUGGUGAGCCCUGAUUGUAGAACAGGCCUCAAGUUUGUAAACCUUUAUUUGGUGCUUUACAAUUAAAUUGUGAAUAGAAAGCAUGUAACUGUUGUGUAAUAGAUUGUUGCUAGACCUGUAUAACAGGCUGUACUUUGUUAAAUUAUUUUAGUGGUUUGUACAUUAUAAACGAUUAUACAAACGCUGCCUUUGUUUAAGUAUUUUCAAAACCCAGUAUGUGGAAUUACCCCAUCUCACUCAAACUGCUAAUUUCUUGACAAUCCCUCCAUUUGCACUCAAUAUACCAUUCUUGGUAUGGUAACCAAUUUGUUGCAUCUACUAAUUCGCACUAAAUACAGUAAAUCACUUGAUUCUAGAUUAGUCAAUAAAAUUGACUUCCACCUUAAUCUAAUCAAAUUAUCUUUGCCUAUGUAAAAUUACCUUUAGUAUGAGUAUUCAAUAUUUUUCAUAGGAUUAGCAUAAAUAUUGUCUCCUUUUUAAACAUUUAGUGUAAGGUAUUUAAAAUUAUUCAAUAUUUUACAUUGAUAGUUGGCACUAUAAACAUUGCUUAAUAGAAUCAAAUGACAAAACAUUAUUUUCAAAAGCUUGGGGACCUUAUUAAGAAAACUCUGAUCCGGGCCCAUAACAGAAUAGAAUAAUUGUGGUAAAGUCCCCAACAUUUUAAAAUUUAGAUAUUCUAAUCCUAUGUGCAAUUCAAAUAAAUUAGGUAUAUUUACCAGUAAUGAAAUAUUUCUGAAAUGCCAAUUUCAAAAUAUGAAUGUUUAGUUCUAGUUUGAUUUAAUUUUACAAACUAUGUCGAUUUAUAAAUUUUACAGAUGCCAGUACUAUGGAAAGGAACCAAAAGUUAAAAAAAAAAAUUAUUUAACUUCUGCAUUUUUUUAGCCUUUAUCUAAUCAUGUGUUAGUAAAUUGACUUGUGAAGGGGUAAUUCCAUUGAGGUUGGAAGGGCAAAACAGAGCAUUUUCCUGGCAAUUAAUAAUACAAGACAUUGUAAAUGUAUUUGUGGUUAGAUUUAAGUGUGUCAUGCUUUUUAAUCAAUUUUUUGAAUGUGUGCAUUGCCAGGAAAUUGCUUGCAAUUUUUCCCCAAUUGACAUGGAUGUUGAAACAUCCACAGUUUGCACAAAUCCAUAUAGCUAGAUUAAGAAUUUGUUUAAUUUUUUUUUUUUUUUUUGUUUAAAAAGUAGAUAAGUACUCAGAACACUUUAUUUCUAAUUCAUGGCUCCAUCAAAUAAGGUGUCUUCUGCUCUAAGCCAAGAUACUGUAAAUAUUCAAAAGUGCUAUCAGAUCUCUAGACUGUGUUUUAAAGCUUGGCACAUAUUGUCAGAUUUUUUCUUUCAAACUCAAAGACAACAUUUGAUCAAACAUGUUGUACGACUGCUAACAGCCAUGGACAGAAAGAUAUUUAGAUCAAAUAUGUUUGAUGCUUGUAUAGCUAUAUCAGAUGUUGGUCUAUUAAACAAUUGUUGAGUCUGACGACCAAAAUCUGGUAAUAUAUGCCUGAAUUUACAUUGGGAAAACUCUACAUGAUAAAGGCAAACUCUGAAAAUAGAAAUGUCAAUCAGAAAGUUUUGCAAAUUAAAUAUUUUCAGUUGGCUGAAGAAAGCUUUCGAAUAUGAUCUUUAGUGAAAUGACUCGUGUAAAAAGUAGGUCCCGUUAUUAGACAUCCAUAGUAUUUAAAUACUAGGUAACAAGCCAGUGUUGUAUUUGCAUGAACAUCAAUGCUUACCAGGGUAAAAUACUUUGGAUAUUACUAUUUUCUAUAUUGGAUUUUAAAAAUAACCCUUAUAAUAUUAUUUGCUGCGCGGCAAAUUUCACCAUUAUGAGAUCGAUUUUCAGUAUUCGAAGAGCACAAUUUAUGUCUUUUCCAUGUUGCUUUCAAAUAUUCUUCUAGUUAUCUAUGCAUCCCAUGAUAUGGUGAAUUUGUUUACAGUAUUGGCCAAAAUUAUAAGUUCAUAAACGAAACCUACAUCUCCAUUACAAGACUGCAGACAAAUAUUAUUAAGCCCUGUCUACACUAUCAAAUUGUAUGUAACAAAUACCAAUAUUUGGAUGUGAUCUAACAUCAUCGUGCCAAUAUAUGGGUGGGUGUGAUCUAACAUCAUCAUGCUCAUAUAUGUUUGAGAUAAUGAUUUGAAUGAAGAUGCAUUGGAAGGUAUCCGUACUAUCAACUUUUGAAAAAUUUGUGUUCAUUGCCCAUAUAUGGACAUGAUGAUGUAUGUGAAAAUCACCGGUAUUUCCCGCACAAAAUUUGAUAUUGUGAACAGAGCUUUAUGUUUAGAUUUAUGCACAAUCUUCAGACAGGGCUUUUUUGAUAACCCUCCAUUUUGCAAUGAAAGGGAAUGUUUAUUUUGAUAAACAACCAACCAGUAAUGAUGGAAAUGCUCAGAAACAUCUGCUAGUUUUCAAGCAAAUUCGCUAUUGAUUAAAUAAAAAAAAAGUUAUAAACAAGUUUGUAAUAUUUUCGUAAAGAAAAUACGGUAGUUUACUGUGUGUGAUGUGUGAUUAUUAGGGAGCUUUCGCAAUGGAGUGUUUUUUCGUACGUUCUUCAGACGUUCUUCAGAUGCAUUUGCAAAAUUUGAUGUUUUGCAUUUUCACAUUGCUAACAUAAGACACAUAGAAUCUACAAGUUAUCAUUAAGGCAAAUGCGCAAUGUACGUACAUGCCGUGGAUAGUAUUUUGUUAUGGGAAUCAUACGUUCACACAAACCUGGUGUGAGAUUCCCUUCCAUUUGCGAAAACUCCCUAAGUCCGACAAACUGAUACUACUGUGUUUCAAACUGGUAUUAUCUUUUAAAGUUCCUGUGCCCGAUGCCUAUAUGGUUUCUUAAUGAGAAAAAAUAAGUAUUAUAAGGUCACCAUCCAUCAAAAGUAACAGUUGAAGAACUUUAAAAUGAAAUAUUAUAAUUUUGAGUAACGUUUAAAAAUAUAUCCUGGGAAGCACGAUUCAGUGCUGCCACUUUGGAAAACGUAUUAUCAGUACAAGUUGUACGCUAUUCUGAGUUUGUGUAUCUUUAUAAGUAUUAACCUUAACAUGUUAAGAAUUGUUACCAUCCUUCUUGAGGUCAUGCUAGCUAGCGUUUUUACGUUGAAUUGAUUUCUUGAAUUUGUCCUGAACUGCCAGAGUUGCAUUUAUUCAUUUCCCCUAUCUUGUCAUUAAAAUUAUCUCCCAAAAGAUGGAACAAAGCAUUACAUUUCGGAUUCAUUUAAUAAAUCGUUUUCACUGCUGAUAGUUUUUCUCUUAUUAUUUGCCGACGUACUUUCAAUACAUCCUCCAAAACAAUACAAUACAAUAACUACUCAACUAGUAAAAUUAAGCAAUAGGCCUAUAUUGGUAAGUAAACCAUAAUUAUUCGUUAUGUAGAUGUCAACACAAUAUUACCACCUUAUGAAUAUUGAUAUCUGUGAAUAAAUUUGCAUAUAUUAUUGAAA
rnacentral:misc_RNA from 1 species